CCGUUCAGUUGUUUCUUUAUUUUUGAUUAGAAAAUCAAAUUUGGAGGAAACAGAAGAUACUGAAACAGAAGAAUAUUUAACAGAACAACCAGAUAAACAAACAAGGAAACCUGUGUAUGCCCUUACUUGACAGCGUCUUGUGAUGAUGUCCUGAAGAUGCUUCUUGAGGACGACCUCAGGGUUGCCUUAACAAAACUACAAAAUAUAUCAUUAAAUAACUAUAUUAAUUAAUUAAUUAAUUAAAUAUGUUUCAGAAUAAAUGCUCUUUAAAAAUCCUCCCAUGGUUUCGCAGCCGCCAACAAGCAAUUCUAAAAAAUUAAAGAUAAUUUUUAAAUUGCAGUACUUUCCAGGAUCUUAUACAGGAUAGACGUUAGAGCUUAGCUUCCUCAGUCUUGACCCGGCAUUCAACCUGUUAGCAACCAGCUCUCUCCUCCCUGCCUAGUUUGGCCGCAAACCUGUGUUGGCCCCCAAAUCAGCUGAAAUGUUGGGAGCGACCACUCUACCUGGUCAACCUGUUUCAACCUAACAAAUACACAUGGGUUCAAUACAGCCAGCAGGUCCUGGCUCUAUACCAGGAAUUUGUGAAGGCCGGUGAAUCUGUGGAGCUGAGGUUAUGGUCUAGAGGAGGUAAAGAAUGUUUUUCCUUCUCCCAAACCCUCGGUACCCUCCCCCAGUCUCUUUCCAGGAUGCCGAACAGGAGGAGAAAAAGGAGGAAAAGGGUGAGAAAGAGCAGAAAAAAA